rnacentral:lncRNA from 1 species
AUAGGAAGAAUUCUGGCUGCUUUUAAAACACUUUACAGAAAAAUGGCUAUAUAUAUAUAUAUAUAAAAGAGGAAAGCACUCAUUUUUUAUAAGCUGCUUCUCCACCUCUGUGGUGUACCCAGGGUAGGAUAAAAUCAGUGAAGAAGUCAGUGUGUGAGAAGCCGUUUGUAGCCCAGCUGACAAUCCCAGUCAGCCCCCAGGAGUUCACCUGGGCUGUUGAGCACAGGGGUGGACCCUGGCACUCAGCAGUGCUGGCUGCUGCCACCGCCUGGGGUUCACAGGUCUCAGCCCAAGGGAGGAGGUUGCCAUUUAUAGUGGGGAUGACUGGAAACAGCCUUUUAAUAGGAGCACUCUGCAAUUUGGUUUAGCAUUCAACAAGGUUUUAACAGUUCAUGAUGAUUCUUUUCUGUAGGUCAGUUAGGCCAAAACUUAGAGCCCAGCCCUGCAGUUGUAAGAAAAUGACAAGAACCCCAGGAGGAACAGCUGUAUAGCAUCCCAAAACCUCUGCCUCUAAAUUUUGGAUUUGGAAUUGUCUCCACUAGACAUAAUACAUGCCAAGUAAUUUAAUCCAGCUUGGUGUUUGCAGACAGAUAGUGCAUAUCUUUUAAAUAAUUCUACAUUAUUUUCUUGAAAUCCUGGAUUUCAUGUGAAUUUUAGCCUGGGGAUUAGGGAGGCUCCUCUCAGAUGUAAUGGGUGAGUGCAGCAUCUAUGUAACUAGGUCAUGGAAUACUUAGGCAUAUUUAGUUAUCUGUUCUUGUGUUCUUCCCUACUCUAGUGGCACAAUAAACAAAAGAGGGAAUGAAGUUGGACUUCUUAUCUCCUCCAAAGGAUGGCAGAAGAGAUUUCAUAGUGGAGUUUUUUGGCCACAUUUUCUAACAAUGUUUGUUUUUGGUUUUUUUUCCAUUUAGCAUUUUGUAAGCAAUGAAGUGCAGGAAUGAAAUGCUUCCCUCUCUUUUCAUCAGACCACGAUAAACAGGAAAAUGCAAAGCAUUCAAGAUGAUGAUCCAGAAAGAGCAAGAGAUUGCAUUUCUUUCCUUUCUCCACAGAGUGUCCCCAUUUCACUGUUCAUUGCUCAACAGGCAACCACCUCUGAGUAGGCAGAAGUCCAUUCUGCAGAGAAGCCUACAAAGCUCAACACUUUCUAUCCAUGUGGGAGAGACUACUGGC